ACAUGCCUAUAUCAUAGCGUUAAUGCAUUGGAUCCCAUUAUAACUCCAAAAUUAAGCGCGCUCAUGAUAGAGUAGUACUAGGAUGGGUGACUUCUCGGGAAUUCCUAGUGUUUUACAUGUC
rfam:Picea glauca, whole genome shotgun sequence.